UGCGAGUUUGUGGCAGGGUGGCGGGUGUCGCAGGGAGGUUGGCAGGGUGGCUGUGUGUCUCAGGGAGGUUGGCAGGGUGGCUGUGUGUCUAAGGGGGGUUGGCAGGGACAGUCUCUUGCAAAGUGUGGGUUCGGCACAUUGUCAGGCAGGGUAAGUGGUGGACCAAGGGUGCUUGAAGUGGGGACUGUCGGAGUUUCCACAGGGAUCUUUGGCAGGUGGGCCGGUGUGUCUCGAGGAAGGUUGGCAGGGUGGCUGUGUGUCUCAGGGAGGUUGGCAGGGGGGCUGUGUGUCUCAGGGAGGUUGGCAGGGGGGCUGUGGGUUUUCAGGGAGGUGUGGCAG
rnacentral:lncRNA from 1 species